rnacentral:lncRNA from 1 species
GAGUUCUACAAAGCCUAGUAGAUUUGGCUCAAUUUAAAUCUGGUGAUUGCAUUUGCACUGCACCAGGUUCAGAUCUGCACUCAGCUGUAUUUCAAGCAAAAAAAUAUGUGCCUAAAAUCACCCGAGUCCCUCAGGUCCCAACCAUGCAAUAAUCAUGUCAACAAGUCUCGAAACAUAAUACCAACCUAUCCCAAGCAAAUUAAUACAAUAUUUGAAAUGUGAGUUGUUUAACAUUAACUAAUUAAAAGGGC